UCAUCGUUUAUAUUGUUUAUAACAUCGUCAGUUUUUAUAUGCAUUUAAUAUUUUUAAAAAUAGUUCAAAAGCUGUCAAAAUAAAAUGGUGAAUUGAGUUUAAACCAGAAAAGAUAUAAACGUAAUCUUUGGGAUUCAACUUGUAAGGAUGUUCCAAGAACCACUUAGUUGGAGAAGGAAAACUGUGCCGUUCAUUAACAAGUCCUGUGCUUUAUAAUAUAUUAAAAAAUGAAAGGACGUGAAGAAAACAGGCAGGAAUGUUUGACUGGAAAUAUAAACGAUGUUGUACAUAAUGCAGAUAGCUUAGGCAAAAAAGAGAUUGGUGAAAUGGAGAAUGAGACUAACGAGGGUGAAAAAAAAAUGAAUAUUGAUAUGUGAAUGGUACUUUGUUUAACAUCUACCUGUUUCUACAGAUACACUUCAGACACAUUUAUAAAUGGGCUUGAUGUUUUUUUGAAUUAAAUAUGUUGUAUUGAUGGUUUUUUUUAACUUGUUAAAACUUGAAGUUAUUA